GACGAACGCUGGCGGCGUGCUUAACACAUGCAAGUCGAACGGAAAGGCCCUGCUUUUGUGGGGUGCUCGAGUGGCGAACGGGUGAGUAACACGUGAGUAACCUGCCCUUGACUUUGGGAUAACUUCAGGAAACUGGGGCUAAUACCGGAUAGGAGCUCCUGCUGCAUGGUGGGGGUUGGAAAGUUUCGGCGGUUGGGGAUGGACUCGCGGCUUAUCAGCUUGUUGGUGGGGUAGUGGCUUACCAAGGCUUUGACGGGUAGCCGGCCUGAGAGGGUGACCGGCCACAGUGGGACUGAGAUACGGCGCAGACGCCUACGGGAGGCAGGAGUGGGGAAGGGUGCACAAUGGGCGGAAGCCUGAUGCAGCAACGCCGCGUGCGGGAGGACGGCCGUCGGGUUGUAAACCGCUUGCGCCUGUGACGAAGCGUGAGUGACGGUAAUGGGUAAAGAAGCAACGGCUAACUACGUG
rnacentral:rRNA from 1 species